AUCAGGACACAACAUGGACAUGAGGUUCCCCGCUCAGCUCCUGGGGCUCCUGCUGCUCUGGCUCCCAGGUGCCAAAUGUGACAUCCAGAUGACCCAGUCUCCCUCCUCCCUGCCUGCAUCUCUAGGAGACAGAGUCACCAUCAGCUGCCGGGCGAGUCAGAGCAUUAGCAAGUGGUUAGCCUGGUAUCAGCAGAAACCAGGGAAAGCUCCUAAGCUCCUGAUCUACUAUGCAACCAGUUUGCAAACUGGUAUCCCAUCGAGGUUCAGUGGCAGUGGGUCUGGGACAGAUUUCACUCUCACCAUCAGCAGCUUAGAGCCUGAAGAUGUUGGAAGUUACUACUGUCAACAGUAUAGCAGUGCCCCUCCCACAGUGCUACAAACCCAAACACAAACCACCCAGGAAGGUAGAAGUGUGAGCUGGGCUGAGCCAGCUGCUCCUUCUGUGGCCUCCAUCGGUUGA